UACGAAGGGGGCUAGCGUUGUUCGGAUUUACUGGGCGUAAAGCGCACGUAGGCGGACUUUUAAGUCAGGGGUGAAAUCCCAGAGCUCAACUCUGGAACUGCCUUUGAUACUGGAAGUCUUGAGUAUGGUAGAGGUGAGUGGAAUUCCGAGUGUAGAGGUGAAAUUCGUAGAUAUCGGGAGGAACACCAAUGGCGAAGGCAGCUCGCUGGGACGUUACUGACGCUGAGACGCGAAAGCGUGGGGAGCAAACAGG
rnacentral:rRNA from 1 species